rnacentral:piRNA from 1 species
UNCAAGGAAAGAGUCUAAUGAAGGUGCAG